rnacentral:rRNA from 1 species
UACGUAGGGUGCGAGCGUUAAUCGGAAUUACUGGGCGUAAAGUGUGCGCAGGCGGCCGCGCAAGUCGAGUGUGAAAGCCCCGGGCUUAACUUGGGAAUUGCGCUCGAAACUACGUGGCUGGAGUGUGGCAGAGGAAGGUGGAAUUCCACGUGUAGCGGUGAAAUGCGUAGAGAUGUGGAGGAACACCGAUGGCGAAGGCAGCCUCCUGGGCCAGCACUGACGCUCAUGCACGAAAGCGUGGGGAGCAAACAGG